AAAACAUAUCCUCAAGACAAGGGCAAUCAAGAAAAGCCAAGAUCUCCUGACUUAUUUUCAGAGGCAUCAUUGCCGUGCUCACUGCAAACUGUGUCACCACCCCAUCAAGCAGAUCAGAUAUCAGAUCUCCUCUUAAGAGAACCACAGGCCUCAUCCGAAGAAGCAACAAAAAACUACCGCACAAAAGUCUUGCAGAAGUUACAAGAGCUCUGCGAGAACCAGCAAGACAUCCUCACACUGCAGAGAAGACUGUUGGCUGCUAUGACUGUGCCAGGGGUAGAGACAGAGGAGGACAUUCUAGAAAAUGGGCCCUGUCAAACUGUAGAAGAGCUUAAACAGUUUGACACCUCAUUAGAAAAUAAAGAGACUAGGACAAAGAUGGUUAACUACCUACGCUCCAUCGGGGGUACCAAUCCAGGGGCGGCUGUACGUAAAAUGCUACGUAAAGUAGCCACCAAUGAAGUCCUAAGUGCUUACAGCAUGAGAGGGAAGAAAACAAAAAUGGCAUUCCAGGAGCUUAGGAUUUGCUCUCUUAUCAUAGGAAAGUUUAAUUCCAUAAUCCUUUUAAAAAUAUAUAUUGAUUGUCAAUUUAAGUAGUUACA